UGAGCCGCUGAAGCCCUGACAGCCUCCUCCGGGGACAGUCUGCUCUUUCCCUGCUUGCCUCCUGCCCUGACCCCCAGGCUCCAGUGAAAUCCUGUAGGUGAACUUCUCAUUAGUUCUAGUCUUAUUUUGAAGAAAAAUAACCAGAUUAAGAAGUGAGAAGACCCACCAGAGAUUUUCUAAUCCAGCUUCCUGUGUUCUAGCAGCAACUAUGAGGUCUCUUUAUAGAAUGAGAGGAAAGUGACAAUCCCUACUUGAGUGACACCUCCAUUAAAAGAGAAAUGAAAUCCUUGAAAUGGAAGAAAACAGAAGAAUUCAGCCAUCUGAUUCUAUAAACAUCAGCUGGUGUCGGGAGGAUGAGAGGGGACCGUUAGUGCUGGUAGGGCCUCUAUCAGUCCCAGCAGCGCACUAGAUGCCUCAUAUACAUGACUUCAUUUGUCUUCUCCAUAACCUGAGGCAAUGUUGGAUUAUCACAUGAAACUCCAGAUGCUAUUCCUUUCAGUAGGAUUUGAUGAAGUUUUAUUAAAGCUGACAAAAGAAGAUUCAGAGAAAUACUGUCAACACUACUAAUCAGCAUUUAAUAUGGAAGCUUGCUACCAUUGAAGUCUUGACAAGUGAAAUGGUUGGUUAUUCUUGCAAUAGAAGCAAAGACACUAAGCCGGUCAGUAAUGUGGAAGAAAUUCUCAACCAUGGGUCUAAUGUGAACAUCAUUUUGGAUCUACAUUGGUCUCCACUCAUAUAAUACCAAGGGUUGAAUCAUGAUUGGCAGUCCUGGGACAACGAGUGCCAGCAAUUACAUUUUCUAACAUCCUCUGCAAACCACAUGCUUCUCUGGGGCUCACUGCCAACACAACUCAUAUUCCUGGAUAUAUAGGGACAUAAAUCUCUUUGCAGGAAGCAGAAACCAAGCUAGGUGCUUAAGUAGACAAGGUACUUAAGAACUUAGGCAGAGAAAUGCAGUGCCAUGCAGCAUCUGAUUUGCUAAUGACAACAUUCACUGAGGAUUUGCAAGCCUGGGGAUCCCUCUCCAACUCUUCAGGUCUCUGAUGUGGGGCAGACAUUCUGGGGCCUCCAUGGGGUCUCUAGGCCACAGACCUCUCAAAAGCUGCAGUUCUGGGGAGCUGUUUUCCAGGACUGUCAUACAGAAGUUCAUCAAAAUAUUGGGUAACUCUUUGUUCUAGCAACUAUGAGGUUUCUUUAUAGAAUGAGACAGAUUUCAUGGUACAGAUUUCAUGACAAGCAAGGGCGUCAGGAUCCCUGAAUCACAGGGGCACAAGAGAAUCAUUUAUCAUAAAGUAUCUGCUAGCAAAACAUAAAAUUUCUCCUCUAGGCCCAGCGAUUUAGUUCAGCGGCAUAAAUGCCUGCCUGGAAAGUACAAGGUCAUGAGUUCAAUCCCCGGUACAAAAAAAAGAAAAAGUCCUCUCUUAGAAAUUCAUGCCCUGGGAUAAACUUCCCUCUCUUUCCACAGCUUCCUUUGUGGGAUGCAAACCUCUGAGAGGUAGGAAUGUACCGGAGAAAAUAAGUGGAGGAAAGAAUAAAGAUGAGAGAGCCAUAGAGCGACAGUAGUGGUGGAGAUGGGAGAGAAACUAUAACCACUGGUUACUUUACGAUUCUCAGGGACCAGGCAUGUCCAUUUAUCACUGUUUUCCAGCACUUUGCAUAAUACCUGGCACAAGGUGGGCACUUAAAAGGGAUGUGUUGAAUGAUAUGAAUUAGCAGGGCAUAGAACUGCCACUCUUCUCCCUAAGACUAGGAACACAUUAGAACAAAGGCUCCAGGAUGCCCAUGAUCCAGGCAGAAGCUAACAUAGCCCACUGUCAUGAGGUCCAAUGCCUUGACCAGGUGAAGUCUCUGCUGUCAGUUGGUAUCUGCUCACCACCACGUUUGGCCACAGAAUGUCUUCUGAUUGGAGCAUUUAAUAGUAAAGCAAAUUUGCUUUCCAUCCUUGCGUAGGGAGUAGCCCUGGCUUGUCCAAACCUAGAAACAAGCAGUGUGUUCACAUCCAAAGACUUCAAAGAACCAGGGCAGACAGCUUCUGAUUCACUCUCCCAAAAGCUUCUGCCAAGCAGUGAGAGUCAGGGUGAGGCCACGCUUGAUGGCUGCCCUCAGGGACUGCAGUGAACUUGCAUGGCAGCCAUCCUGGUGGGACAGUGGAGCCAGCCUCCUCUGCUCCUCAAAGAGACAUGGCCUCACCCUCUCAACCAGCCAUGGAGCCCUGGUAGAUCUGUUGUCUGGAACAUAAGAGUAGCUAGAGAUGUUUUUGUAGGAUCCUUUUAUGAGGGCAGAGUGUACUUUGCCUCCCCAUUUAAAGACCACACCUUUGAAAGUCAGACUCCUGGAGAAAUGCUUUGUAGCCCUGAGCACACUAAAAACCAUUUGCCUUGGAAAGAUAUAUGGAUAAAGUAGUGAAAGGUGCUCUGCUGCUGAAUUAAUACUUCAUGCAUCACAAGCAAUUUACCUGCCAAAGUGCUAGUUGUAUCUCGGUGGAAGAGAAAUGAGUGGGGGAAGGAGGCUCCAAAUCACCGGCGUGGCCAAUGAACGUGAGAACUGCGGCAUGUUGAGUGGGAAGAUGCAGAGAUAAUUAUUUGCUUAUGAAUCUCUAAGCAGCCUCAUUCACAAAAUAGAGAAAACUGUCACUGUUAGUGCCAGAUUUAUUCCAGCUAGCAGGAAGCAGCGAAACCGAAUCAGGUUUCUGCAUUUUGCAUAAAUUUAGUGGUGCUACAUUAAGUUUUAUAUUUUUCCAAAGAUGGCAUCACAAAAAUACCACAAACUGGGAGACACAAACUAACAGAAAUUCAUGUCUUUAUGGUUUUGAAAUCCAAAAGUCCAAAACUUAUGGGAACUCCACAGAUUUGAUUUCUUCUGAGAUCUUGCUCCUUGGUCUUUUUCCCCUGUGUCCCCAAAGGGUCAUAACUGCACUUGUGUGUCAAGGACAUCCUUUUUUUUACAGGAAUAACAGUCAUACUGCAGCAAAACUCUCCCUAAAGACCUCAAUUUACCUUAAUUACCUCUUUAAGGGGCUCCCUCCAAAUAGAUUGAAGGACUAUGGAUGCGAUGUCAAAAUACGAAUUUGGGGGAGGAAACUAUCCACCCCAUAACAAGCUCCAAAAGGAGGUGAUAUUUUCCAAGGAGAAGAUGGAGAAUGUCUCCCAGUACUGUAGCUCUGCAUUCACAUGGGAUGCCAGGAAUCCCUUAACCCUAACUCACGUGUGGUAACGUCCUUGUACUCCUGAGGACUUCACGGGUCUCUGAGAACUAUGAGAGCAGACGAUGAUGAAGACAUCAUUAUUGUCUUACCAAGGAAAAGGUGAAACUUAGCUUUGUUUUUUCUCCUCUGCCUGCUGAGCCUGCCUUGAUUAGUGAGAGUGAAGUGGCACAGCAAAAUCUGGAUUCUCAGGCCAAAUGCACUGCACGGGAGACCCACCUCUGCCAUUUAUGAGGUAGUUAAAACAACCUAACCUGCUAAUAAAAACAAUCAUGACAAGGCAAGGAAUGAAGCAAUUAAAUCCCCAGUUCUAGCCAGUACUUAAUAUGAAGCUCAAAGUCUUAAAUGAGCCAGGAUUCUGCAAACAAUGCAUUUGUUAAAACAAGCCAGUCUGCUCAUGACAGAGAGUCCACAUUAAUUCUUAGCUCAGGAGCUCGUUACUUAUAAUGUAGGUCAAGGAGUUUAUGUCAGCUUGGCUCAGUUCGUCUUUGAGUAUUAUAAUUUGCAAAUUAGAAAAAGCAAAGUGUUCUAAUUUAGGGGGCUCCAUCACUCAUGGGCCUUCAGUAGGCUCAAAUGUACCCUUUGGGUAGAAAAAGAACAAGCCACCAAAUUCAGUGGGUUCCACGACCUACAUUCAUCCCCCACAUUUCCACCUAACAGAAAAGGAAAACAAAUACAACUAUGGAGCUUUGAAAAAAUAAAGAUUAAGCAAAAGGUAUGAAGUUCACCUGUGGGCCAGGAGCUAGUGACAAACAUUCUCUCUUCGCUCAGGGUCCCAAGGAAGAAACAAAGCUUCAGGAAGAAAAGGGAGUUUGACAAGAUCUUUGCUUUUUUUAAACUAGAAUUGACUGAAACCCUCCACACUCUUCCUCCCACUGAAGGUGGAGUGCUUGUUUAGGCCAGUGUCUGACAUGUACCCCCUCUUCUUAAAAAUCUCCAGUGGCUCCAAGGGUUUUGCAUCAACAUGCAGCUUCUUAAGCUGGUCUCUCUGGAUGGCUGCUCCUCAUACACAGGUCAGCUGCCUUGCUGCCUUCUGCAAGGCCCGUGUCCUUCCCAGGCUGCCUCCCCUUUAGGAGCUCUGGCCCUUCCUCUGGACAUGCUCUCCUGUGUUAUCUUUUUCUCCUGAACCAGAACUCAUCCUUCAGUUUCCAGUCCCAUGGUCCCAAAUGCAGGAAAGACUUCUCUGCUUCCUGAAAUUAGGCCGCACCCUCUGACACUAACUCUCAUGCAGCCCAUCGCUGCCCAUCUUCGGCUCUCACCACAACACACUCCUUUGUGUGAUGACAGCUUGACAAUUCAGUUAUCCACAAAGGUCACCAGUGCAGGGACCCUGCCUGUCUUUGCUCAUUACAGUGCUUCUUAAAGUCCCUCACAGGGGAGGCACUCAGGUGCCCUGUAGGUGCACAGGAGGUGCUCAAUAAUUGUUUCUGAAUGGAAGAAGAAAUUAGGAAAAUAAGUAUGUUUGUACCACUUUAUCCUUUUUUAUAUAUUCUGCUCCUAGAAUGGAGAAAAUGGCUCAGUGGCAGAACAGGAAAUAUAAAUUCACAAUGAGAAUAAUUGCUCCUUCCUACAGAACUCUUUGUCACGGUGUCAUGGUGAUUUAUACAAUGGCCAGGUGAAUAGCAUUUGUCAUCUCCCCUGCUGGACUGCAUCAAGGGCCAUAUUUUAUUCCCCUUCAGAUCCACUGUAUCCAGCACAAGGGAAGAACUUACACUUUCCUCCAAAGGGGGAAAAACACACAUAAUAGGCUAUAGGAAUAAAAUUUCUCAGCUCAGAUGCAAGGGAAUUUCGAGCAUAGAUAGAUGGAUUAACUCCAGGGAGGAAGAGGAAACGCUCUGAUUUUACAACAAAGGAAGAAAGAACAGAUGUAGAAAUAAAAAUAGACAAAGGUGAAGGGAUGAGGAGGGGAACAUUUGUGCCAGGCACCGGUGUCUGCCCAGUUUCAGCCCGUCACUGGCAAAGUCCUUGGGUAAAGAUGAAGGUGGUUGGGAGAGAGGAAUGGAGCCUGCAAGAGAGCAGAGAUGGUCUGAAAAAGCUACUUUUGGGAGAAAGCCAGACAUUUUAUUUUUAAAAAAGGCAGGAAGUUAUAAAAGCAAGCAUCAAGAGCUUCAGCUGGUUUGGCAUAAAUACAUUCUUGAAAUUUCUCCAACUGUGCUUUGCAACAUGAAUACAGAGCUCGAGGAAAGGACCAAGAGGCUGUGUGUUAAUAAUGCUAAAUGGAGAGUCCAGGCUGGGGCAGAAGUCCAGCGACACCACUGUUGAUAAAGGUGGGGGGACUCUGGUGGCCAGAAAUCUUGAUGAUGGCUGAAGGUCUGGACUCAAGCCCCUCAAAGCUGUGAGUGGGUUGGGAGUGGUGGUGCACAUCUGUAAAUCCCAGCACUGUAGGAGGCUGAGGCAGGAGGAUGGCAAUUUCAAGCCCAGCCUUAGGUAGGCUGUGUCAAAAUAAAAUAAAAAGGGUUGAGGAUGUAGGUCAGUGUGUGGCUCUGGGUUCAAUAUUCAGUACCACUAAGGGUCUGCUCAUAAGAGUUCCUUCUGGAAUCCACACACUGUUGCCUUCAGUCUUCACUACAGGCCAGAGAUCAUCAGCCUGGAGCUGGGGAACCUAUGUUAGCAUGAGUUUGGGAUCAGUGCCCACUAGGAUGAGACCACAAGCCAAGUGUUUGAGCCCCCUAAGAGGGUGCAGCUGGGCCUUGGACACAGAUGGUGGGCAGCGUGGGGAGGUGAUGAGAACAAAGGGAGGUGACGGGCUCUACCCAAAUGGGUGCUAAAAAGGCAGCAUCACCCCUUCCUCACCACACCUCAACACACAGACACACACACACACAGAGACACACAGAGACACGCACACACACACACACACACACACAUGCACACACAAACACACACAUCCCUCUUUCCUUUUGAAGGGCCCAAUAAGAAAACACAAGUUUCUAUAGGAAAGGAUACUGAGACAGAGUGAUUUAGAGAAUGCCACACUUCCUAUAAAAUGUGGAGAUGAAGAAAUAAAGAGAUUUAUAAUGAAAUGGAAUGUGCCUAAAGCAAAAUCAAGUCAUAACAUAAGGCCAGGCAUGGUGGUCCCAACACUCAGGAAGUUGAGACAGGAAGAUCCUGAGUUUGGCAGCCAGGGUUAUACAGUGAGACUGUAUCUCAAAAAAGAAAAAAUCAGGGAAAGAAAAACAAAGCAGAAAAUUAAGAAAGAAGGGGAGAGAGAGAAAAAGAGAGGAGGGAGAGAAAGAGAGAAAGAGAGAGAGACAGAGACAGAGAGAGACAGAGAAAGACAGAGAGACAGAGAGAGAGGGAGAAACAGUGUAUCAUGUUACUGAGAAGCACCUUUGGCCAAAGUUCACCUUGGCCUGGUCUUGGUAUGUAGGGACUUAUAGGUGAAGCUGGGAAACUAAGAAACUGACAUUGGCCACAAGACAAUGUCAGGUCCCCUGGCACUGCUGUGUUGUCCUCAGUUCAAGGAGAAAGCUUAGUUCUUUAGUGAACACAGAUACAUGAUAAGAGAUUAGGGAGCCAAACUUGUGUAGUUAAAAAAAUGCUUUGCUGUUAGAAGAAUCAGGCAAUUGGACAAAGGUGACUCAGAGGGCUGGCAUCUGCCCAAAGAAGGGAUGACUCUCCCAAGGAGAGGAGCCCGGUUCUAUGAAGUCCUAGUGCAUGCACUGCCACCUAUAAAGCCUCAAAGGCGUGAGUUUACCAAAUUCUCUGGAGUAGACAAAGUGAAUAGGUCCCUCCACAUUACAAGAGCUAUUGAAGGGAUCUGGGAGUGAAGUUCCAUGUGACAAGGGCAACAAAGACCUGCUUGGUAGCAGAUUUGUAAAGACAGACAGCAAGGUAGGCUGGUGUGAAUUCAUUCUUUCGGCUUCUUCUCUGCAUGAAGCCAGACACCUGUGCUCGGCAGCUCCCUUCUGUCUACCUGCAGCCUCCCCACCUGGCCACGGAGGGGUUCACCAUCAGAACCAGGAGCAGAGGAUUCUUCCGGAGAUGUGCAGUGUUUGCUGGGGGCGGGGUGGGUUGGUACAGGACGAGUGCAGGAGGAAAUGAAUCUAGUAAAGAAGGUACCAAAAACAUUGCAAAUGUGAUAGCAAAAUAGAGUCUGAUGUGUUGAACACCCACAUGCUUACAUCUAGUUUUGUCUAAUCAAUUCUCACACACUCUAAAUGUUUCUGAGAGGGAUUAUGAUACACUUGAGGGCUCCUGGGACUCCCUCUCUCUCCCGUUUCCCUCUAUUGCUUCCUCCUCAGAGGGUAAUAACCGCCACCCCAAACUGCAUCUUUACUUUUCACAUGAAUGCAGAGUAUUAUUUUUUAAGUUUUACAAGCUUAUUUAAAUGUGGCACUGAGCUACGAAAAAUCACAGCACUUUGGGGAGGCUGAAAUAGGUAGACUGACUUUCACCCCAGCCUGGGUAAUUUAACAACUUAGUAUCAAAAUUUUAAAAAGGGGCAGGGGAUGUAGCUCAGUGCAGAUGCUUUGGGUUCAAUUUCUAGUAUAUAUCUGUUUUAAAAACUGCCUUUGGUUUUUUAACAAUACUUCUGUAUUUUUUUCAGGCAAUAUCGUUUUCGGGAUUCGUUCAUGGUGAUAAUUGUACCUCAAGUUUGUUUAGUUUAUCUGCUUUACAGUAUUUGAUUGAACAAAUAAACUAUAUUAUCCACCUACUUUUUCCAUUUAUGAGCAUUUGUUUCCAGCCUUUUUUUUAAUACAUCAUAGUGCCAUAAACAUUUCAUUCAUGUUCCUUUGUGAAACUGCAAUACUUAUCUUUCCUUCCUUCCUCUCUCCCAUCUUUCUGCCUUCUUUCCUUUCUUCCAUGCUAGGGGUUGAAUCCGGGGCCAUGUUAUUGAGCUAUACGCCCAGCCUUUUUCCUUAAUUUUUUUUUUUUUUUUUUGAGACAGGCUACCAAGUUGCCCAGGUUGGGCUUGAAUUUGCAAUUCUGCCUCAGCCAUCUGGAAUCCUGAGACCACAGUCACAUGCCAUCAUGCCACAUUGUAAUGUUUUCCUGAAAGGACAGAUCAGAAAGUAGCAUUUGUGGUUGGUUCCAUUAAAAUAGUAAUGGUAUUUGAUACUAGAGAAAGCUUUUAUCUGUUUCUCUCAUUGCAACAUUUCUUGUAUCUAGAAUACUACUGGAGGAGCAGACACUCCAUAAUUACUUGCUGAAUGAAUGAAGGAAUGAAAGUUUGGUUUUGCUCACCUGAGCCUUAAGAGGGAAUUCUUACUUUUGGUAAACUUACUCAUAACUCCUAUGAGUUUAUUUUAUUUUAUUUGGUACUGGGGAUCGAACUCAUGACCUCGUGCUUGUCAGGUAAGCACUCACAGCAUUGAGCUAAAUCCUGGCCCAUCCAUACGCAUUUUAAACCUACCUUAUAAAAAUGGCAUUAAAAAUCUUUCCUCAAACAAUCAUGAUAAUACAUUUGUCCCUUAAUAACAUCAAAUAGCAUGAACAAUAGUCAACCUUGGUAUACCCACAAUUCUAGGAUUUAGGGAUUUUUGCACUCAUUUAGAAAAUAAGGAUAGAAGAAAAUAUGGGUAUUAUAUUGUAGAGAUGUAUGGAUAUAUAUAUAGCCAGCAGAAAGAAAAUUUGUGGUUGCAAAUUCUAGUGCUUGCCUCUCCUUGCCAUGCACCUGGCAGGCUGCCUUUCCUACCCUUUUACAGACACACCAUUCAACCAUGACCUGUCCCAGCCAAAGAAAGAUGUGACAAGCUGGGCAGGGGUGGAACAGCCUCCACAUGACCUUCUUAUUGGUCUCUCUUCUCUUUGUUUGAUUUACUUGAGCAAGACACAGGCCUUUGCUAUGCUAAUCCACUGAGAUUCAAGAGGUGUCAGGUUGCCAAGGACUAGUUCAGCCUUGCCUAACUGAACAAGAUUACUGAAGAAGCCGUUCACAAACAACUAGACCUUCAUUUUCCACGUAACUUCAGGACUUUUUCACUGGUCUGCCUCUCUAGUUCUAGGGUCAAAGGAUGCUGCUGUUUUUUGGCCUCAAGAUAACAAAACGGGGAAAGAUUUAGAAAGGGUAACUCUAGUUCGUACUCAGGAUAAAGAGCACUGGCAAAGCAAAGUUACACAAUCAGAACUGGUACUUUGAAAUCCCAGACCCAAGUGAAUCUACACCUCCUUCCACAAUCUGUGGCCACAGAGAUUUAAUCUUCACAAUAGUUCCUUUUCCUGUGCUCAGAUUACCUUAAACCUAACUGGAAAGCCCUUCCACCAAACAAAGGUAGACACACAAUUCAGUGCAAUUCUAUGUUUGGCCAUGCUUGAUUCUAUGUCAGGCAAACACACUGCUUCCCUAAAGUUACUACUUUCUACUGAAAUGCUGCUACAUGCUUUAUUAAAGAUGUAUUAAUAAAGAAUAUCAUUUUGAAAA